rnacentral:rRNA from 1 species
UAGCAAUAUUCUGUAGUUGGAGCGGCGCAAGGGUGCGUAACACGUGGGUAAUCUGCCAUGAAGUUUGGGAUAACUCGCUGAAAGGCGAGCUAAUACCGGAUGUGACGAUUGGAAGGCAUCUUCUGAUCUUCAAAGUUGGGGACCGUAAGGCCUGACGCUUCAUGAUGAGCCCGCGGCCUAUCAGCUAGUUGGUGAGGUAACGGCUCACCAAGGCUAAGACGGGUAGCUGGUCUGAGAGGACGACCAGCCACACUGGAACUGAGACACGGUCCAGACACCUACGGGUGGCAGCAGUCGAGAAUUUUUCACAAUGGGGGAAACCCUGAUGGAGCGACGCCGCGUGGGGGAUGAAUGGCUUCGGCCCGUAAACCCCUGUCAUUCGCGAACAAUGCCUGUAUAUUAACACCAUACAGGUUGAUAGUAGCGGAAGAGGAAGGGACGGCUAACUCUGUGCCAGCAGCCGCGGUAAUACAGAGGUCCCAAGCGUUGUUCGGAUUCACUGGGCGUAAAGGGUGCGUAGGCGGUCGGGUAAGUCUGAUGUGAAAUCUCACAGCUUAACUGUGAAACUGCAUUGGAUACUAUUCGGCUUGAGGUCUGGAGGGGGGACUGGAAUUCUCGGUGUAGCA